UCGUGCACCAUCGUGCUCGCUCAGCCACUUUCUUUUUUAGAGGGUGGUGCAUUCAGUGGAUGUAGAUGCUGCCGUUGUAUUCUAUUUGGUGGAUCGAGAAUUUCGGUUCUCUCUACUGGUGGAUUAUAUGACGGAGGACUGACGCGAUACGACCCGUCUUGAAACACGGACCAAGGAGUUUAACGUACCUGCGAGUCAAAGGGUGGAGAAACCCCACGGCGUAGUGAAAGCGACAUAGAACUGUAACAGUUUGGUUGCGGCGUAGAAUCGUUGAUUCUAUGCUCGACAGAGAGCAGGUCCGUUGAUACCCGAAAGAUGGUGAUCUAUGCCGGGGCAGGGCGAAGCCGGAGGAAACUCCGGUGGAGGCUCGUAGCGGUGUUGACGUGCAAAUCGCUCGUCGGACCUUGGUAUAGGGGCGUAAGACUCAUCGAACCAUCUAGUAGCUGGUUCCCCUCGAAGUUUCUCUCAGGAUAGCAGGCCGAGGUUAAUGUUGCAAUGCGAGGUAAAGCUAAUGAUUAGCGUAUUUGGGAUGGAUAUAUUUCUCUAGCGAUUCUCAAACUUUAAAUACGCAUGAGCUCUGCUGCGUGGAUUGAGCAAGAGCAUGAUGAACCUNNNNNNUGUGGGCUCGUUUUGGUAAGCAGAACUGGCGAUACGGGAUGAACCGUAAGUGUGGUUAAGGCGCCAAAUUAUUCGCUCAAAGAACCCAAAAAAGGUGUCGUUUCAUUUAGACAGCAGGACGGUGGCCAUGGAAGUUGGAAUCCGCUAAGGAGUGUGUAAAAACUCACCUGCCGAAUGAAGUAGCCCUGAAAAUGGAUGGCGCUUAAGCGAAUAGCCGACACCACACCGUUUGAAAUAUAUAACUGCAAAACGAAGCUUUAAUUGUUGUGUGAACAACGGGUAAACAGCGUUGAGUAUAAAAGAACUUCAAAUGAGUAGAGGGGCGUAGCGGUUGCUGAGAAGCUAUUGUUUAAACAUGUGUGGAGCGGCCGCUAGUGCAGAUCUUGGUGAUAGUAGCAAAUAUUCAAAAGAGAUCCUUGAAGGGCGAUGCGGGGAAGGGUUCCAUGUCAACAUUGAUUGGGCAUGGGUGAGUCGUUCCUAAGCCACGCGUUAAUUGCAGCGCAUCGGCGAAAGGGAGACAGGUUGAAAUUUCCUGUACACGGAUGUGGAGGCGGCGACGCAUUACUUGGGGUGGUGACGUCGGCAAUGGCACUGGGCAGAGAUUUCUUUUCUGUUUGACGUACGAGGCGCUCUGUGGAAUCCGAUUAUCGGGAGAAACAGGCGCCUCAGGGCAUAGCGCCG
rnacentral:rRNA from 1 species